rnacentral:rRNA from 1 species
UACGUAGGGCGCAAGCGUUGUCCGGAAUUAUUGGGCGUAAAGAGCUCGUAGGCGGCCUGUCGCGUCUGCUGUGAAAUCCCGGGGCUUAACCCCGGGCGUGCAGUGGAUACGGGCUGGCUGGAGGCAGGCAGGGGAGAACGGAAUUCCCGGUGUAGCGGUGAAAUGCGCAGAUAUCGGGAGGAACACCGGUGGCGAAGGCGGUUCUCUGGGCCUGUACUGACGCUGAGGAGCGAAAGCGCGGGGAGCGAACAGG